AUUGAACGCUAGCGGGAUGCUUUACACAUGAAAGUCGAACGAGUGGCGGACGGGUGAGUAAUAUAUCGGAACGUGCACAGUAGCGGGGGAUAACUACGCGAAAGAGUGGCUAAAACAGCAUACUAAUGGAGGGGCCGAUAUCGGAAUAGCUAGUUGGUGGGGUAAAGGCUCACCAAGUCAACGAUCCGGAGCUGGUUUGAGAGGACGACCAGCCACACUGGGACUGAGACACGGCCCAGACUCCUACGGGAGGCAGCAGUGGGGAAUUUUGGACAAUGGGGGAAACCCUGAUCCAGCCAUCCCGCGUGUAUGAGAAGGCCUUCGGGUUGUAAAGUACUUUUGGCAGAGAAGCGGUAUCUGCAGAAUAAGCACCGGCUAACUACGUGCCAGCCGCCGCGGUAAUUC
rnacentral:rRNA from 1 species